CCCCUAGAUGUUCUGGGCCGCACGCGCGCUACACUGAACAGUUCAACAAGUCUUAACCUUGGCCGAUAGGUCUGGGUAAUCUUUGAACGCUGUUCGUGAUUGGGAUAGACCUUUGCAAUUAUGGGUCUUCAACGAGGAAUUCCUAGUAAACGCAAGUCAUCAGCUUGCAUUGAUUACGUCCCUGCCCUUUGUACACACCGCCCGUCGCACCUACCGAUUGAAUGGUUCAGUGAGUUGUAGGGACCGUGGCUGAGUCACCUUUAUUGGAGACACUGCUGUGGGAACUACUGCAAACUUCAUCAUUUAGAGGAAGGUGAAGUCGUAACA
rnacentral:rRNA from 1 species